AUUGAACGCUGGCGGCGUGCCUCAGACAUGCAAGUCGAACGAUUAAGACUCCCUUCGGGGAGUGUAUAAAGUGGCGUGCGGGUGAGUAACACGUAAGUAAUCUACCUUCGAGUGGGGAAUAACAUCGGGAAACCGAUGCUAAUACCGCAUAAUGCAGCGGCAUCGAAAGAUGACAGUUGUUAAAGGAGCAAUUCGCUUGAAGAGGAGCUUGCGGCAGAUUAGCUAGUUGGUAAGGUAAUGGCUUACCAAGGCUACGAUCUGUAUCCGGUCUAAGAGGACGGUCGGACACACUGACACUGAAUAACGGGUCAGACUCCUACGGGAGGCAGCAGUCGGGAAUUUUGGGCAAUGGGCGAAAGCCUGACCCAGCAACGCCGCGUGAAGGAUGAAGUUUUUCGGAAUGUAAACUUCGAAAGAAUGGGAAGAAUAAAUGACGGUACCAUUUAUAAGGUCCGGCUAACUACGUGCCAGCCGCCGCCGUAAGAC
rnacentral:rRNA from 1 species